rnacentral:rRNA from 1 species
GACGAACGCUGGCGGCGUGCUUAACACAUGCCAGUCGAACGGAAAGGCCCUGCUUUUGUGGGGUGCUCGAGUGGCGAACGGGUGAGUAACACGUGAGUAACCUGCCCUUGACUUUGGGAUAACUUCAGGAAACUGGGGCUAAUACCGGAUAGGAGCUCCUGCUGCAUGGUGGGGGUGGGAAAGUUUCGGCGGUUGGGGAUGGACUCGCGGCUUAUCAGCUUGUUGGUGGGGUAGUGGCUUACCAAGGCUUUGACGGGUAGCCGGCCUGAGAGGGUGACCGGCCACAUUGGGACUGGGAUACGGCCCGGACUCCUACGGGAGGCAGCAGUGGGGAAUAUUGCAAAAUGGGCGGAAGCCUGAUGCAGCAACGCCGCGUGCGGGAUGACGGCCUUCGGGUUGUAAACCGCUUUCGCCUGUGACGAAGCGUGAGUGACGGUAAUGGGUAAAGAAGCACCGGCUAACUACGUG